UACGAAGGGGGGCGUAGCGUUGCUCGGAAUCACUGGGCGUAAAGGGUGCGUAGGCGGGUCUUUAAGUCAGGGGUGAAAUCCUGGAGCUCAACUCCAGAACUGCCUUUGAUACUGAGGAUCUUGAGUUCGGGAGAGGUGAGUGGAACUGCGAGUGUAGAGGUGAAAUUCGUAGAUAUUCGCAAGAACACCAGUGGCGAAGGCGGCUCACUGGCCCGAUACUGACGCUGAGGCACGAAAGCGUGGGGAGCAAACAGG
rnacentral:rRNA from 1 species